UUGGAGGGCAAGUCUGGUGCCAGCAGCCGCGGUAAUUCCAGCUCCAAUAGCGUAUAUUAAAGUUGUUGCAGUUAAAAAGCUCGUAGUUGAAUUUCGGGAUUAGCAGGUCGGUCGUGCCACUGGUACGUACUGGUCUUGCUGAUUCCUCCCUCUUGACGAGCCGUAAUGCCAUUAAUUUGGUGUUGCGGGGAAUCAGGACUGUUACUUUGAAAAAAUUAGAGUGUUUAAAGCAGGCAUGCGCUUGAAUACAUUAGCAUGGAGUAACGAAAUAGGACGUUCGAUCUUAUUUUGUUGGUUUCUAGGAUUGACGUAAUGAUUAAUAGGGAUAGUUGGGGGCAUUAGUAUUCAAUUGUCAGAGGUGAAAUUCUUGGAUUUAUUGAAGACUAACUACUGCGAAAGCAUUUGCCAAGGAUGUUUUCAUUAAUCAAGAACGAAAGUUAGGGGAUCGAAGACGAUCAGAUACCGUCGUAGUCUUAACCAUAAACUAUGCCGACUAGGGAUCGGAUGAUGUUAAUUUUUUAAUGACUCAUUCGGCACCUUACGGGAAAC
rnacentral:rRNA from 1 species